rnacentral:rRNA from 2 species
GCAGUCGAACGAACUCUGGUAUUGAUUGGUGCUUGCAUCAUGAUUUACAUUUGAGUGAGUGGCGAACUGGUGAGUAACACGUGGGAAACCUGCCCAGAAGCGGGGGAUAACACCUGGAAACAGAUGCUAAUACCGCAUAACAACUUGGACCGCAUGGUCCGAGUUUGAAAGAUGGCUUCGGCUAUCACUUUUGGAUGGUCCCGCGGCGUAUUAGCUAGAUGGUGGGGUAACGGCUCACCAUGGCAAUGAUACGUAGCCGACCUGAGAGGGUAAUCGGCCACAUUGGGACUGAGACACGGCCCAAACUCCUACGGGAGGCAGCAGUAGGGAAUCUUCCACAAUGGACGAAAGUCUGAUGGAGCAACGCCGCGUGAGUGAAGAAGGGUUUCGGCUCGUAAAACUCUGUUGUUAAAGAAGAACAUAUCUGAGAGUAACUGUUCAGGUAUUGACGGUAUUUAACCAGAAAGCCACGGCUAACUACGUGCCAGCAGCCGCGGUAAUACGUAGGUGGCAAGCGUUGUCCGGAUUUAUUGGGCGUAAAGCGAGCGCAGGCGGUUUUUUAAGUCUGAUGUGAAAGCCUUCGGCUCAACCGAAGAAGUGCAUCGGAAACUGGGAAACUUGAGUGCAGAAGAGGACAGUGGAACUCCAUGUGUAGCGGUGAAAUGCGUAGAUAUAUGGAAGAACACCAGUGGCGAAGGCGGCUGUCUGGUCUGUAACUGACGCUGAGGCUCGAAAGUAUGGGUAGCAAACAGGAUUAGAUACCCUGGUAGUCCAUACCGUAAACGAUGAAUGCUAAGUGUUGGAGGGUUUCCGCCCUUCAGUGCUGCAGCUAACGCAUUAAGCAUUCCGCCUGGGGAGUACGGCCGCAAGGCUGAAACUCAAAGGAAUUGACGGGGGCCCGCACAAGCGGUGGAGCAUGUGGUUUAAUUCGAAGCUACGCGAAGAACCUUACCAGGUCUUGACAUACUAUGCAAAUCUAAGAGAUUAGACGUUCCCUUCGGGGACAUGGAUACAGGUGGUGCAUGGUUGUCGUCAGCUCGUGUCGUGAGAUGUUGGGUUAAGUCCCGCAACGAGCGCAACCCUUAUUAUCAGUUGCCAGCAUUAAGUUGGGCACUCUGGUGAGACUGCCGGUGACAAACCGGAGGAAGGUGGGGAUGACGUCAAAUCAUCAUGCCCCUUAUGACCUGGGCUACACACGUGCUACAAUGGAUGGUACAACGAGUUGCGAACUCGCGAGAGUAAGCUAAUCUCUUAAAGCCAUUCUCAGUUCGGAUUGUAGGCUGCAACUCGCCUACAUGAAGUCGGAAUCGCUAGUAAUCGCGGAUCAGCAUGCCGCGGUGAAUACGUUCCCGGGCCUUGUACACACCGCCCGUCACACCAUGAGAGUUUGUAACACCCAAAGUCGGUGGGGUAACCUUUUAGGAACCAGC